GCGCCGUUGCCGGGGAGAAAGAUGGUUUGCUGAGAUAACUUUAAGUCUUGCUAUUAUCUUGUAUUAUACUUUUAUACUUUUAUUCUUUUAUCUUUUUAUUUUUUCCAUCUUUAUGGAUAACUCAAAUUCCACACCUAUUAUUGAAUUUUUUGCACCUUCGGAGACCAGCCAUAGACCAUGGGAGUCAACAAGUCCUUUCUUUGCCCCUAAUUAUGAUAUGUGUCUGGAGUUAGUUGCAAUUGGUCAAAAGCAACACUUUUCUAUAGCCGAGGUCCUAUCUUUUAAUCAAGAAGAUAAUGAACUUUUAGCUACACCUAGGGAAUCUUUUAAUCUUUCUAUAAAUUCUGGUUUAGAUCUAGCCCUACAAGACCAUGUUUUUCCUCGAUAUUUCACAUUGGUCUUAAUCAUAUAACCUUUGGUAGAGUUUUUCUUUCUUUAUCUCUUAGUAAAGCAAGGUAUGUCCUCAUUCAUGGACAUCCUUGUUGCACUAGUCUUCAUAAAACAAUCCUAG
rnacentral:lncRNA from 1 species